CUGCUCACUUCAGAAGCACAUAUACUAAAACUGGAACAAUACAGAGAAAAUUAGCAUGGCUCCUAUGCAAGGAUGACACACAGAUCCAUGAAGUGUUUCAUAUUUUU